rnacentral:tRNA from 1 species
GGCCUAAUGGCCCAAUGGCAAGGCGCUUGACUACGAUAAACCAGGGCUUGAACCUGGCUAAAGUGUAUCAAGAGAUUCCAGGUUCGACCCCUGGUUAGGUCA